ACUAUUUUGGCAGAAAAAUGUAAUGGUUUUAGAAGUCAUAUAUAUAUAUAUUAGAUAUAUAGAUAGUA
rnacentral:tRNA from 1 species